GACCCGGAGAAGGUGACGCGCAUCACAAUGGCCCCUUCUAGAACCGGCUCGUCGCCGUGCGGCUCCUGGAGACGCGCACAGCAGUUGGACUGCUCCCGAGCCAACACUGCUUGGAGUCAGGUCACACCUGUGUCCUUGGUGUCACCCUGACCGCAAGGCUACAGAAGACUGGACAGUCUUUUAUCCCGGGAGAAAAAUAUGGGAUCCUUUGGAAAGAGAGGAAGGGCAUCUCAGGAGGAGGGACAAGGAUGGAGAUGCAUCCCUCUGCCAUCCUGCCUCGAGCACUGCCGCACGCGGGAGCCGAGGCCCGAAGCAGGCAGCCAGACAGGGCAGCAGAUGUUUGCCACAGCAGAGUCAAGGGCCUGGGACGCUGUGUGGCGGCAGCAGCUGCGGCUGCAGCGGGCAGGCCAGGAGCGGGUAAGACCAUCCACCGCUCGGUCUCCCCCACGCACAACCCACCCUCCCUUCUAUGCCCCGGGGUCAAAAAUGAGUAGUU